rnacentral:rRNA from 1 species
UAGGGAAUAUUGGGCAAUGGAGGCAACUCUGACCCAGCCAUGCCGCGUGAGUGAAGAAGGCCUUCGGGUUGUAAAGCUCUUUUACCAGGGACGAUAAUGACGGUACCUGGAGAAUAAGCCCCGGCAAACUUCGUGCCAGCAGCCGCGGUAAUACGAAGGGGGCUAGCGUUGUUCGGAAUUACUGGGCGUAAAGCGCACGUAGGCGGGUUGUUAAGUCAGAGGUGAAAUCCCGGAGCUCAACUUCGGAACUGCCUUUGAUACUGGCAAUCUAGAGUCCGGAAGAGGUUAGUGGAAUUCCCAGUGUAGAGGUGAAAUUCGUAGAUAUUGGGAAGAACACCAGUGGCGAAGGCGGCUAACUGGUCCGGUACCGACGCUGAGGUGCGAAAGCGUGGGGAGCAAACAGGAUUAGAUACCCGAGUAGUCCCUGAGCGGGCUGGCAAGGC